UACAGAGGGGGCUAGCGUUGUUCGGAAUUACUGGGCGUAAAGGGCGCGUAGGCGGCCCGCUAAGUCGAACGUGAAAUCCCCGGGCUCAACCCGGGAACUGCGUCCGAUACUGGCAGGCUUGAAUCCGGGAGAGGGAUGUGGAAUUCCAGGUGUAGCGGUGAAAUGCGUAGAUAUCUGGAGGAACACCGGUGGCGAAGGCGGCAUCCUGGACCGGUAUUGACGCUGAGGCGCGGCAGCGUGGGGAGCAAACAGG
rnacentral:rRNA from 1 species